rnacentral:piRNA from 1 species
UAAGUGUCUUUGGAGUUCUCUUCCAGUUU